rnacentral:rRNA from 1 species
GACGAACCGUACGAACGUUAUUCGGAAUUACUGGGCUUAAAGGGUUUGUAGGCGGCCUUGUAAGUCAGGUGUGAAAUCCCUCGGCUCAACCGAGGAAUGGCGCUUGAUACUGCAAGGCUUGAGGGAGACAGGGGUAAGCGGAACUGAUGGUGGAGCGGUGAAAUGCGUUGAUAUCAUCAGGAACACCGGUGGCGAAAGCGGCUUACUGGGUCUCUUCUGACGCUGAGGAACGAAAGCUAGGGUAGCGAACGGG